CCGGCCACGAUACCGCCCUCCGUAAUGAUUAUUACCAUACAUGUCCUCAGUGCAGGAGGCCGGCGGCCAUUUUCUUGUAGUCCCGUCAGGUAGCUAAAGCAACAAUAGGAUUCCUGACCGUGUAGUGACGUCAGGAGCGGCGGCCAUGUUCCCCAGGUCUGAGGCUCUGAGCUCCGUCUUCUUUCUGUCAUCCCCACAAGGCAGCAGGAGCAGAGAGCAGCCAUUGCUGUGUCUGGCAGCAGUGCUGGACUUUACGAACCUCCAUGUGAUAAAAUGGAUACUAUAAUAAUGGAGUGCGCCGUGGUGGAUUUGUGUUAAAUUCAAGUAGAAGAAACGGGCCUUGGAACGCACGGUGACCACUUCCGACGAAAUGGAACGCAAACCGGCACGUGACUUCCGGCUUCGACACGCAUGCGCAGUCCGCGACCGUCGCUGAUCAGCGGUAAACGGACACAUCUGUUACCGCUUACAUUGGGGGGAUAUAAGGACAGUUCUGUUAGUGCAAGACACGCUACUGAGGAAGGACAUUGAGUCUGAAACGCGUCUAGCGUAUCUUGAACGAUUUCCCUGUCUGGCUGAACUUGUGGUUGUGCUGCCGUACCUUAAACACAAUCCGGAAGUAAGUUAUGGUGUAUUCUUUGGAACAUUUUGGAUAUCGGGAGCUGCCUAUGCUGUUUGCUACUGAGGGACCUAUCAUGCUGUGUUUUUAACACUUGUUUGUAAGUGCAUAUCUGUAUUAAACCAGUGUUUGUUUUCA